rnacentral:rRNA from 1 species
UAGAGUUUGAUCCUGGCUCAGGAUGAACGCUAGCUACAGGCUUAACACAUGCAAGUCGCGGGGCAUCAUGAAUUUAGCUUGCUAAAUUUGAUGGCGACCGGCGCACGGGUGAGUAACGCGUAUCCAACCUGCCCUUGUCCACGGGAUAACCCGGUGAAAACCGGCCUAAUACCGUAUGUUGUCACAUGCUGGCAUCAGAGUGUGACGAAAGGUUUUGCGGACAAGGAUGGGGAUGCGUCCGAUUAGCUUGACGGCGGGGUAACGGCCCACCGUGGCAACGAUCGGUAGGGGUUCUGAGAGGAAGGUCCCCCACAUUGGAACUGAGACACGGUCCAAACUCCUACGGGAGGCAGCAGUGAGGAAUAUUGGUCAAUGGGCGUGAGUCUGAACCAGCCAAGUAGCGUGCAGGAUGACGGCCCUAUGGGUUGUAAACUGCUUUUGUGCGGGGAUAAAGUGUGCCACGUGCAACAUAUUGCAGGUACCGCAUGAAUAAGGACCGGCUAAUUCCGUGCCAGCAGCCGCGGUAAUACGGAAGGUCCGGGCGUUAUCCGGAUUUAUUGGGUUUAAAGGGAGCGUAGGCCGGAGAUUAAGCGUGUUGUGAAAUGCCGCGGCUCAACCCGUGGCACUGCAGCGCGAACUGGUUUUCUUGAGUGCGCGCGACGCAGGCGGAAUUCGUGGUGUAGCGGUGAAAUGCUUAGAUAUCACGAGGAACCCCGAUUGCGAAAGGCAGCUUGCGGGAGCGCAACUGACGCUGAAGCUCGAAAGGUGCGGGUAUCGAACAGGAUUAGAUACCCUGGUAGUCCGCACGGUAAACGAUGGAUGCCCGCUGUUCCGUCUUUUGAUGGAGUGCCCAAGCGAAAGCGUUAAGCAUCCCACCUGGGGAGUACGCCGGGCAACGGUGAAACUCAAAGGAAUUGACGGGGGCCCGCACAAGCGGAGGAACAUGUGAAUUAAUUCGAUGAUACGCGAGGAACCUUACCCGGGCUUGAAUUGCAGAGGAAAGAUCCAGAGAUGGUGAUGCCCUUCGGGGCCUCUGUGAAGGUGCUGCAUGGUUGUCGUCAGCUCGUGCCGUGAGGUGUCGGCUUAAGUGCCAUAACGAGCGCAACCCCUCUCCGUAGUUGC